rnacentral:rRNA from 1 species
GUGGGGAAUAUUGCACAAUGGGGGAAACCCUGAUGCAGCAACGCCGCGUGAGUGAUGAAGGCCUUCGGGUUGUAAAGCUCUGUCUUCAGGGACGAUAAUGACGGUAUCUGAGGAGGAAGCCACGGCUAACUACGUGCCAGCAGCCGCGGUAUACGUAGGUGGCAAGCGUUGUCCGGAUUUACUGGGCGUAAAGGGAGCGUAGGCGGACUUUUAAGUGAGAUGUGAAAUACCCGGGCUUAACCUGGGUGCUGCAUUUCAAACUGGAAGUCUAGAGUGCAGGAGAGGAGAAUGGAAUUCCUAGUGUAGCGGUGAAAUGCGUAGAGAUUAGGAAGAACACCAGUGGCGAAGGCGAUUCUCUGGACUGUAACUGACGCUGAGGCUCGAAAGCGUGGGGAGCAAACAGGAUUAGAUACCCCUGUAGUCC